CUACGGGGUGCUCCAGUGAGGAAUAUUGCACAAUGGGGGGAACCCUGAUGCAGCAACGCCGCGUGGAGGAUGACGCAUUUCGGUGUGUAAACUCCUUUUAUAUGUCAAGAAAAUGACGGUAGCAUAUGAAUAAGCACCGGCUAACUCCGUGCCAGCAGCCUCGGUAAUACGGAGGGUGCAAGCGUUACUCGGAAUCACUGGGCGUAAAGGACGCGUAGGCGGGUGGGAAAGUCAGGUGUGAAAUACUACAGCUUAACUGUAGAACUGCACUUGAAACUUCUAAUCUAGAGUAUGGGAGGGGGAGAUGGAAUUAGUGGUGUAGGGGUAAAAUCCGUAGAUAUCACUAGGAAUACCUAAAGCGAAGGCGAUCUCCUGGAACAUUACUGACGCUAAGGCGUGAAAGCGUGGGGAGCAAACAGGAUUAGAUACCCCGGUAGUC
rnacentral:rRNA from 1 species